rnacentral:misc_RNA from 1 species
UGCAGGAUCAACCAGGUAGCAUUCCUCACAGACAUUGGGUUGCAAGAUGCGAGACAUGCUUGAAACGCCAAACGUCAUCCGAAUGGGGCAUGUUAUGCCAAUUUGGGGGCAAAUAGAGGUCAAGACCCCGUACCCGCAACGUGUUCUGCAUCCCGAAGCUCAAGAAAAAUUUAUGGGCCGUGAUGAAAACGCGGAACAUUCUCAAAACGGAACACAAAUUUGUCUUUCAUGUUUGCUCGAAGCCGCACCAUGUGCAUGGACAGCAUUGAGCAAACGGGUAAAAAAUUGGCUAACGAAUUCCAUGAACGUAGGUAUGUAACACAGGAAACCAACACCACGGACAAGAGUACCUCUUGUUCCGACUAUGAAGAGGAAUGCACGGUAGGAUGUUCGUGCCCAAGCA